CCAAUACAUCAACAGACCCAUAGAAGCAUCAGGAGUUGGGAAUUAAAGUAUUUUUAUAAGCAAAACCUAAGGGUAACUGUGAUGGUUAAUACUGAGUGUCAACUUCUUGACUGGAUUGAAGGAUGUGAAGUGUCCCUCGGUGUGUCUGUGAGGGUGUUGCCAAAGGAGAUUAUUAACAUUUGAGUCAGUGGACUGGGAGAGGCUGACUCACUCUCAGUCUGGAUGGGCACCAUCUAACCAGCUGCCAGCAUAAAAGCAGGAAUAGAAAGCACCAACUUGCUAAGUCUUCUGGCCUCCAUCUUUCUCCCGUGCUGGAUACUUCCUGCUCGCGAACACUGGACUCAAAGUUCAUCAGCUUUUGGACUCUUGGACCUACACCAGUGGUUUGCCAGGGGCUCUCAGGCCUUUGGUCACAGACUGAAGGCUGCACUCUCAGUUCCCUACUUUUGAGGUUUGGGGACUCGGACUGGCUUCCCUGCUCUUCAGUUUGCAGAUGGCCUAUUGUAGGACUUCACCUUGUGAUCGUAUAUUUGAAAAAAUCUAUAGGAAAAAUGUUGAAGGACCAAGAGAAGUGAGAAGAUAGAGAAAUGUCUUGGAGACAGAAAUGAUCUAAUAUACUAUGGCAUGGGAUGAUGGGGGACCAUGAGGGAACUAGAAGUAUCAGAGCAGCAGCCAGAUCUCUGGCUUACCCAACUCAUCACACGGUGGUUGUACUAACCAGCUCGAAGACCUGUGAAGUCUCCAGAACUGAAAGAAAGACUUGGCAGGAUGGAUUUCUAAUGGGGGCUCUCUUUCUGCCUGGCAGAUGACAAAGCUGAAGUACAGAGAAGUUGAGUCACUUGUCCAAGGCCAUAUGCUGGCAAAUGGUGGAAUGGGGCCCUGUCUGAUGUCAGAAUCUACACUUUGUUUCAUUCCAUUCCCCCACAGUGGAAAAUCUCUGACUUUGGAGUCAUAGAGGUCUGCGUUGGAAUCUUGGUUUUGCCAUUUACUUGUUGAGAGGAUUUGGAAUCCUCCCGGAGAAGAGAGCUACUUUAGGAGAAAUUCUCAUAUACAUCCUCCAGCCAGCCUGGUGUUCAAUGGCUUGAGUGCCAGGCCUGUGGGACCUGUAGUGGGGAGGGCCAGGCCAUCACUCUGACCCUCUUGGGAAACCCAGAGCUCCAGAGACCACAGAGUGACCCAAGCCUCUGUGGCUUUACCUGGGCCCAGCUGAAGUCUCUGUGACGCCCAUUGUCUUCCUGCCAAGCUGGUCCUGCUUUUCAUGACUUGGAGAAGAUAAGAAAGCAGAGAGGGACAGGGGACAGCUGAUAUCCCCUGUGGCCCUGGAUGAACACUUUGUUUUAGUUUUUACCAAUGGAGGAUCUCAUAAGAACCCAUAAAUUUCCAGCCCUCCCUGCUGUAGCACUCAGGCUGGUCAUGAGAAGCCAAUACAGUUGCAUUCAGCACCAGCACACACUGUCAUCUUGGUGCCUUCAUCAUCCCUCACCCAACUACCUGUUUCUCAGGACUGCCACAGCGGCCUUACAGCUGAACAUCCAUGGGCCCAAGUCUCCCACAGUACCAGGUCUUCUGGUACAGGGGUCCAUUCCUUGUAGAAAUAAGAGUUCUCCUCUUAUUAAAGUGAAAAUACACAUAGGAUUGUUCUCCAACUAAACCACAAGUACCAAGUCACCUAGUGACAGACGAGGCUGUGCUCAAAAAAGGUUGAAGACUGCUGUUAGCCCCCUCAGGCAGAGUGAAGGGCUGUGGGUGUGGUAUACAGGGGCUGGCAGACAGAAGGCCAGGCCCUCUUUACACACUUCCCCUAACGUCCAGCUUCCCUUCGCCGCAGACCCACUGAUCCUGACUGGAAGAUGAUCCUAACCUGGUCAUCUGAGCUCACCAACCCAAACCCUGGCAAUAACAUACAAAAUGCUGUUCUCAAGUGCUUUGAGGGGGGUCUGGUUGACGGGCCAGUCUCCUUGGGCCAAAACAAAACUUCCAAGUUCUUCUAAAGUUUGCUGCCAAGGCUAAGGGACUCUGUCCACAUUAAAGUGUUGGCUCUGGUGUUGAUGCUACAUGGAAAAUAUCUUUAGGUCACAGCUGAGAUUCAGGACAAGGAGACUCGGGGUUGUGAUAGAAGACAAAACAUCUAGUUAGGUAGGUCUGUGUGCCAGGUAUAAGAAGAUCGGGGAAAGGUACUACUCUAAUUUCCAUUCCAAAACUAUUAUAGAAGGAGUUUGAAAAGAUAUCUUGAAUUCAUGGGUGGUCUUCCUCUCCCUCUUAACACACAAUUGCAUCAUUUGGGCUGUCAGAAGUCAAAAAGUGGGUACUGAACAGUAUGUAAAAUUAUAUUCUAACAUCUCUAGAGAACUCAAAUUGUCAUUCUCAUCCUCGAAAGUUCAAAUGGACACCCCCUCUCGUUUACAGAGAAGAAAACUGAGGCUAAACGUUUAAGUAGCUUUUCCAGAUUUGCACAGGACUCAGAACUUACAAGGUGGAGUGGAUCUCAGGACGGGUGAUCUAAUUUCCUACCUGGAGCUCUGGCAAGUACCCACCCUCCCACCUCAUCUCUCUUAUUUAACACCACCACAUCACACAUUCGAUGGAGACACGAGAAGUGAUACUGAGAAACACAAAGCAGCAAAAACAAUGCCCUAGAAGCAGACCAUGAAAGAUCUUGGAAGACUGACCAGUCUUCAGGCUUGGCAGGCUGCGCCAGAGCUUCCCACAGAGCCCACGGGUCCCUGCUGGCUCUGAAGUGGGCUGUGGGGGUGCCUGUGGAAUCUGCCCUCCACUGGUGGAAGAAGUGAGGGGUAAGAAAGAAGGAUUCAGCCAGAAACAAAUGGGAGCCCCCUAGGAUAGCCAGAGCUCACAUGCAGCCCCCUCCACAGGUGGCUCCCAGCCCACCAUUCCUGCAGGGAGAAGGAGGGCACAGUGGGGGCCACAUGCCUGGAGAGCCCAAGGAGAUCCAGCCAUCACUACUGGGACUAGGCCCCAGGGCCUGUCCAGCCUCCUGCCCAACUGCCUCUGAGAAAAGGGGAUGGGGUGAAGGGAAAAAGUGAGGGAGAGAAGUCUAUCUCUCAGCCAGGAAGAGCAAAGUCCCCCAGGCUCUCCCUAAAUGCCCUGGGGCUCACUUGGCCACCCCUGCAGAACCACACACUCAGGCCUCCUCCAGUUAGAGGUUGAGUGUUUUUUCCCACCCCCCAGGCAUGGGUGCUGGGAAAUGAUGGACUUAAUAAAGUUUAACAAAGAAAUGCAGUAGCCCUCUUUGGGUGGAUAGUCCUCUUCUUUGGAUGGGAGAAAUAGGAACUUUCAGAAGAUUCUAAGACAUCUGGAUAAACCAAGACUCUCUGAGUGGAGGCUGAAAAGUGAUAAAGAUUUUUGAGAUCCUGGGCCUUCCAAAAAGCUCCACGACCCAACCUCCAUGAAGGGAAGGCUCAGGCCAAGGGAGUGAGAGCUUUUAGAAAAUUCCACAGUCCCUAAAGAGGCCAUACGGUGACCUUUCAAGAUGAUAGGUUGAAUGGGAAGGGAGACAAUAGGGGUUCUGAAAGCUGAGCCUUCUAGAAAGUUCCACAGGUUGAGAUAGCCCUCAACCCAACCUCCAUGAAGGAAAGGCUGGGGCCCAGAGGAUGAGACCUGUGCCUUCCAGAAAGCGCCAUGAUCUGGUAACUGACUUGUGACCCAGCAGGGGCAUGGUGGAAAGGUGGGCAGUGUUUCCUACCUGGAGCUCUAUCACGUACCCACCCUCCAACUUCCUCUCUCUAAUUUAACAUCACCACAUCACACAUUCAAAGAAAAGACUAGAAGUGACACUGAAAAACACAAGGCAACAGAAACAAUGCCCAAGGGUUGACAUAAAAACAAAGACACAGGCCAUGCAAGAGCUUGGAAGACUGACCAGCCUUCAGGCUUGGCAAUCACCACCCUAUUACACCUCUAAAAAAAACCAAGGCCAGAAAGACCAUGUCAUUGUUAUCCAUUGUCAGUGACAAGGCUGGAAACUUGACUGGCCUGAUGCCAAAAUCCCAUUAUAAUCUGAAGCCUCAAGUAAGGUAAGACAUUUGGGACAGGGCCAGUGCACAGAAUUGGAGGGAUAAGAGGAAACCCUUCCUCUUGUUAGAAAUCUUCCUCACCGUCCUCCCUUCAGGAGCCAGAGACCCCUAAUCUUACCCCUCAAGUGCCAGAAACCUCGAGUCUCCCGCUUGCAGGGGCCAGGAAACCCCAGGUCUCAACCACCAGAGUACAGCCUCUGGGAGAGUCACUGAGACAGUCCACGAGAGAAGGAGCAGCCAGGAGAUCCCCCAGCUCCUUGUACUGGAAGGUGGUCUGGCCCUCAGUCUAGUUAGGCCUUGGCAUCCUGGUAUCAACUGGUUUAACUGCCGUGUAUCCCACUGUCUGGAAAGUGUACCAGAUGACCCAGAGACCACCUUCGCAUGGCUUCUGAGGCAGGAAUCAGAGGCACAAGCUGCCUGCCGAGAUUCCAAAGCACUGGUGUCACCCUGAGGGGUGGAAAGGAACGUCACAGUGGGUGGCCACCCCAUGCUUGCUUUGGGGACUGAUACUAGGGGUUCAGGACACCUGUAAGGGGUCUAAGGCAACUGAGUGUUUCAGCAUUGUAGGGCCUAGGCAGCUGAUCCCCUGUGAGAUGAACCAAGGCUGUUGUGGCCGACUGGUGGUCUAGGCCCCUGGUGGGCCUUGAGAUGUUAGGACACAGGCUGGGCACUGGGCAGCUGAUAUGCUCCAGGAAUAGCCAAGGCACCCCGU
rnacentral:lncRNA from 10 species